rnacentral:pre_miRNA from 1 species
ACACACACACACAUAUAUGUGUGUGUGUGUGUAAAUAUAUCUAUUCACACACACAUAUAUGUAUAUAUGUGUGUG